AUAUUUUAUGAUUAACUGAUUAAGGUUCAAACAUGAGGACAAAAUACCCUCAAGUUGUCCCGUUUCUAACAGAACGCCCGUCAAGAAAAGGGUCUUGAAGGAGUUGAGACGGAGUGUGACACUUGGUUGUACAACGCAAACACUCAAAGACAAGGAUUUCAAGGGGGAUGCUUGAGAGAGAAGCUCAAGGGAAAAUUCAAAAAAUGUGUAGCGG
rnacentral:lncRNA from 1 species